rnacentral:rRNA from 1 species
GAUGAACGCGGGCGGCGUGCCUAAUACAUGCAAGUAGAACGCUGAAGCUUGGUGCUUGCACCGAGCGGGAGGAGUUGCGAACGGGUGAGUAACGCGUAGGUAACCUGCCUCUUAGCGGGGGAUAACUAUUGGAAACGAUAGCUAAUACCGCAUAAAAGUCGACAUUGCAUGAUGUUGACUUGAAAGGUGCAACUGCAUCACUAAGAAAUGGACCUGCGUUGUAUUAGCUAGUUGGUGAGGUAACGGCUCACCAAGGCGACGAUACAUAGCCGACCUGAGAGGGUGAUCGGCCACACUGGGACUGAGACACGGCCCAGACUCCUACGGGAGGCAGCAGUAGGGAAUCUUCGGCAAUGGACGGAAGUCUGACCGAGCAACGCCGCGUGAGUGAAGAAGGUUUUCGGAUCGUAAAGCUCUGUUGUAAGAGAAGAACGAGUGUGAGAGUGGAAAGUUCACACUGUGACGGUAACUUACCAGAAAGGGACGGCUAACUACGUGCCAGCAGCCGCGGUAAUACGUAGGUCCCGAGCGUUAUCCGGAUUUAUUGGGCGUAAAGCGAGCGCAGGCGGUUAGAUAAGUCUGAAGUUAAAGGCUGUGGCUUAACCAUAGUACGCUUUGGAAACUGUUUAACUUGAGUGCAGAAGGGGAGAGUGGAAUUCCAUGUGUAGCGGUGAAAUGCGUAGAUAUAUGGAGGAACACCGGUGGCGAAAGCGGCUCUCUGGUCUGUAACUGACGCUGAGGCUCGAAAGCGUGGGGAGCAAACAGG